AUAUAUAAGAUCCGGAUCCUCUCCUCAUAAUUCUCUGCUCAUAUUGCCUAAUAAAUGAAUCUCAACCAUCCGUCCAAAAUGGAUGGUCAAGAUCUAUAUGGGUUCUUUCAGGUGAUAUAUCCAAUAUCUCUUCUCUACUCUUCCCCAACUUCUCGUCAGACUCGCACAAUAUCUCCCUCUCAUCUCUUUCUUCAAUCCUGGUUCUAACACAGUCACAGUCACACCCAUCUUCUAUCAGUUGUAUUCCAGCAGACCGGAAAAAAAUUGAUGUGAUUCACACUGGGAGGACUUGCUGAUCCACUUGAAGCUGCUCUCUUUUCUUUUGUAAUCAAUCAUCAAUUACGAAGUAGAGUAUGAACAAUAAGGAGCUUUGAAAAUCAACUACCAUCUUAUGGAGAGCUUUUCAUGACAUACGGUUCUCUGUCCUGUAUACUUAGGGAGUUCAGUUGAGAGGCUUCUUCUUCCUUAGCAUUUGUACCACAGUACAUAGACAAAAACUGAAAAGUGUUGUUCCCUUUGCUUUUUUGGGACUGAAUUUCUUACCCCUUUUGGGUAAAAUGGAAAGCUAUCAUUGGUGUACUUGCUUUUUCUUCUUGGUCAUUGUUGAACGGAUGCUAUGAGCAUUUGUUAGCAAAUUUUCAAUCCUUCAUAUGUUGAUCGCAACGAAUGAGAAUACUGAAUAUCAAUUACCAUCAAUUGAUCAUCUUAGAAAACCAUCCCUUCUCUAAAGCACCACAACAGUACUAGAGUCAUAAUUCCAAACACUGUCAAACAAAGGAAGAAGAAGAAGAAGAAGAAGAAGAAGAAAGCUGAAUAUACAUAAACCAGUAUUUGAGAGAGAGGGAGGUGACUCGGAGCUAGAAUUUGGGAAAGAGGAGAGAGAUAGACGAUAUAUCAUUAAAGAAAUCCUGGAAGAACGGAUAUAGAUCUUGACCAUCCAUUUUGGACAGAUGGUUGAGAUUCAUUUAUUAGGCAAUAUGAGCAGAGAAUUAUGAGGAGUGGAUCCGGAUCCAU
rnacentral:lncRNA from 1 species